rnacentral:lncRNA from 1 species
UGCGCGACUUGAUCAUAGGUUUUUUAUUAUUCAUGCUAAAAUCAGUUUAUAUCAAUUUUAGCAUAUGAACUAUAUCCAUAGGUAUUUUCAUAUGAUUAAUGCAUGCUUAGAUUAAAUUAUUUUAAUCUAAUUUUUACUGUAUUUUAGAUUUAAAAAAUUAUUUUAAAAUUCACAUGCACUAGCACCUGUAGAAAUCUAACAGUAGUAUCAAAGUCACAUGUCACAUAUAUGAAAGUAGUAUAAAAAUUUUGAAAAUUAUUUUUAAAAAUUUUGAUUUUAAUUCAUACAUGAGAUGUAUGUUUUUAUGUUCAGAUCUGAAAGGUAUC